GCGAAAGCUUUGCAAUAAGCGAAAGCUUGACAGGGCUAUCCCGAGUGCCAUCCGCUGAGGAAGGCUUUUACCCAGUCUAGAACGCUGGGGGAAUAAGGAGAGGGCAAGUCUGGUGUCAGCCGCCGCGGUAAUACCAGCUCUCCGAGUGGUGUGGAUGUUUAUUGGGCCUAAAGCAUCCGUAGCUGGCCAGGUUAGUCCCCUGUUAAAUCCACCGAAUUAAUCGUUGGACUGCGGGGGAUACUGCUUGGCUAGGGGACGAGAGAGGCAGACGGUAUUCCCGGGGUAGGGGUGAAAUCCUAUAAUCCCGGGAGGACCACCAGUGGCGAAGGCUGUCUGCUAGAACGCGCCCGACGGUGAGGGAUGAAAGCUGGGGGAGCGAACCGGAUUAGAUACCCGGGUAGUCCCAGCUGUAAACGAUGCAGACUAGGUGUUUGGACGGCCACGUGCCGUUCUAGUGCCGCAGGGAAGCUGUUAAGUCUGCCGCCUGGGGAGUACGAUCGCAAGAUUGAAACUUAAAGGAAUUGGCGGGGGA
rnacentral:rRNA from 1 species